rnacentral:rRNA from 1 species
UACGAAGGGGGCUAGCGUUGCUCGGAAUUACUGGGCGUAAAGGGCGCGUAGGCGGAUAUCUAAGUUGGGGGUGAAAUCCCGGGGCUCAACCUCGGAAUUGCCUUCAAAACUGGAUAUCUUGAGUUCGGGAGAGGUGAGUGGAACUCCGAGUGUAGAGGUGAAAUUCGUAGAUAUUCGCAAGAACACCAGUGGCGAAGGCGGCUUACUGGUCCGGUACUGACGCUGAGGUGCGAAAGCGUGGGGAGCAAACAGG